UUCAUUGGUGAGCUUCUCACGUGGUCAUCCUCUAGGUAGGGGACGUUUCCCCCGGCCACACCAGCUUGUUGUCACCAUCCGGGCAGUCGCUUCCCUCGAUUGAAUCUCUCCUGCACCAUGUGGCAUAGAUCCAUUCUGGCAUUCCUCCCCCGCUUUGGCUCGUGGUUUAGCAGCACUUGGCAUGGACCUCUCCGUCUAAGAGAAGAAGUGACAGAACCACAACAACGACAUCUCUUGGCUCAAAAGGAUGGAUAUCCCCAUUUUCCAGGCUCUGGCAUCUGAAAAUUUUCACUGUCACCACCUCAUCACCUCAGUUUGAUUAUGGCCUCUCCAACAAGUCCCACUAUCCCUGCACCUCCAUCAAACCUUUCUACGACCUCUACCAGUCCUGCUGUCUCCCAUCCUGUGUCCAAUCUUAAAUCCUUUAUAAGGACAACCUCCCCUUUCUCUCUCCCCCUUCCUCUACAGCCUGUGUAAGGACCACCAAGCCUCCUGCUACAGAAAUCCCCUCAGAUUUAGCUGGCUCUGUAAGUUUUUUCUGUUCUGUUUUCUGUUUGGUUGUCCUUUUUGUUCUAUGAUUUCUGCAUGAGACAUUCGUGUCAUACGUCUGAUGAGGGAAACAACAUUGAGGAAUAGCUCUACCAGUCUGGCCAACAAACUGAAGGAGAGCCACAGUGAGGAGUGGCUGCAGCACCUGGCAAGAUCACCAAGAAGCUGUCAGGGGCAGCAAAAGGGACAGCACUGUAGCUGACUUCAGUUGCCAAUGAGCUGGGUCAGAUCACGUAAAGUUAUCCAAGAUGUGCCAGGUGUGGCUCUCUACACAGAGAUUGGCAUGACCACCACCAAGGAGGGCCUGUGGUAGUCUGCCACCUUUUCCUCUCCAGCCCUGUGUUCUCUGUUGUGUUCCCCUUCCUGGUGUGUCUUGUGGGUCCCCUACUUGUCUUUGGAUAUGUGUGUGUGUAUGUGUGUAUGUUACCUGCCUGGUUCUAGGAACCUCCCACCUGCGGCUGAUCACCAGCACACCUGUCUCCUAUCUACUCAUCAGUCUUCACAGCUUAUAUACCAGGCUUUUCCACUACUCCGAUGCCAGAUCGUCCCCGUACAUUGUACGACAACUACGUCUAGGCUCUCGCUAAAGCUAAGUACUUUUUGCAAGUGUGUUUUUCCUUCGUGUUUUUGAUCCUGUCUGUUUUUGCUCUGCCUAAGGCAUUACCCGGUGCUGGUGAUCGCCGCUCCUGUGGUUUCCUGGAUUCCUGUCUGCCUGCUUCUCCAGCCAGCUUCACCUUGCCUGUCGUCAUCUGUUUACACUGCUCAUUCACCAUUCGACUUUAUUACGAAUAAAGUGUGUUUUGGAUUACAGAGACUUCUCGGUAUUCUGCAUUUUUUGGGGUUCGAAGAUCGUGCAUACGACAGGGCCUAGUUCUGAGAAACUACAGAUGUGCCAGAGGCUCAACAUCGCUGAAGUCAUUUCACUGACACCUGAACAGGUUUAUUCCAGGUGAAUUUUAUAAUAUAAAUUAUAAUAUACUAUGAUAUUAUAAUGAAAUGCUAAAUAUUCUUUAUAGUAAUUACAGAGGAACUGCACAAAUAACCUCACAGUACAACUUCAGGCACAAAAGCCAACAGCCUGAACUUCCAGCUGUUUCUGCUGGAAGUCCUGAACAGGUGGAAUCAGGACCGAGCUGCCUAGUCCCUAGCCACCAAGCCAUCUAAUCUCCUCAGCUACUCUGGAGACCUUGUCCAACACCAAUAGUUUGUAGGUGCUUCGUCGGAAGUAUAUUUCGUUUCUCCAUCCCCCACCCCAGUACACCAGUACGUUCAGCAGCAAGCGGUAAAGCGUUACUCACCAUUCAUAAACUCUGCAUUUAUAUGGUAUUGUGUGUUUAUGCAUUUGUGCUUAUUCAUACUAAUAAGUUGUGGUAUCCCUUGACUGUUUUCUCUCUCACCUCCCAGGAGAGCUUAUUUGUAUUGACUAUUUGUAUAAGCAGACAGGGCAGCCCGUUCACAACAUGAACCCAGACUCUGAGGAGGUGGAUGAGCUGUUGAAAGAUCUCAACACUGGGGAGGAGUAGGAAGAUCUUUGAGGACCAGGUUCUAGACUCAACAGUUGGAAACCUUAUGACUGCAGCAGCUGUUCCAGGCCAGGUUCCUGCUACUUCAUCCACCCAGCCUGCUGCCUUCUCUGCCUUCACUGUGCCUGCAGCCGCCUCUGCCUCCACCCAGCCUGCUGCCUUCUCUGCCUCCACCCUGCCUGCAGCCGCCUCUGCCUCCACACAGCCUGCUGUCCUCACUGUCUCCACCCUGCCUGCAGCCGCCUCUACCUCCACCCAGCCUGCUGCCUUCUCUGCCUUCACCUAGCCUGCUGCCCUUUCUGUUAAACCCGCUGGUGUUACUCCCAAGGUCCCAGAUAGCUGGCUGUGGAUGAGCACAACAUGCCGGGCAUGGAUCAAGUGGACAGAGUAGCAGAGCAUCUGAUGGGUCUGUGGAACCAUACUGGCUUGACUUUGAGCAACCAACAGGUCAGCACUAUCAUAGACCUCUGGUAGAACCUGCCGUAUGGCAAUAUGACUAGCAACGGGUGGUGUUUGCUGCCAGGCACCAGAACAGGCUCAUAGCAGGACAGUUCAGGUCUCCAAAGAAAAAUGUGUGAAGAACCUACUUAUAUAGUGAUAAGUUAUCUCAUUGCACUUGUCCUAUAGAGCAGGUCUAGACCGUACUACUAUAUAUAAUA